rnacentral:lncRNA from 1 species
CGUGGCCGGGCAGGAAGAGCAGGGUCCCGCCUUCAGGUGUUUGGGACUCUGCUGAGGGUGUGGGUGCCCCGCGGUGGGGGCUGAACCUUCCUGGGGUGUGGAGAGACGAAAGGAGCCCAGAUCCAAGUUCCCUCGUUCCCGCUUUGGCAUAAGUUGCCCUGGCGGUCUCAUGAGAGAGAGAAAGAGCUGGGACCCUCCUCGCCCCAUGUAACAUCAGACAAGGGUGUUGACUCUGCAGCACAGAACCAGUAGUUUGUGGAGAAGAAUGGAGGUGUGGUGUUGAAUCUGCUAGACAGGCUACUGAAGCAAAAGUCAAGAGAUCCAGAUUCCAUCAUGGGGACACUUUAG